ACUGGUCGGUGGCACGGAAGUCCUCCACCGCCCGACUGGCCGACUCCUUCGCCGACCUUGCUUCCUCUUCCGUCCGACCGAGCGAGUCCCUUGCCGACUCUGCUUCUGCCUUCGCUAUGUCGGCGUCGGCCUGAGCGAUUGACAUGUCCUCCUCGGCUUUGGCGAGCUUCUUCAUGCUGACCCAAAGCUGCUCGCGCUCGCCUUCGAGUUCGGCAGCGACGCCAUCCCGCUCGCGCCGCAGACGAUGCACGGUCCGGCC
rnacentral:lncRNA from 1 species